AGUUGCGAAGGCGGCUCUCUGGACUGUAACUGACGCUGAGGCACGAAAGCGUGGGGAGCAAACAGGAUUAGAUACCCUGGUAGUCCACGCUGUAAACGAUGAGUACUAGGUGUCGGGGGUUACCCCCCUCGGUGCCGCAGCUAACGCAUUAAGUACUCCGCCUGGGAAGUACGCUCGCAAGAGUGACACUCAAAGGAAUUGACGGGGACCCGCACAAGUAGCGGAGCAUGUGGUUUAAUUCGAAGCAACGCGAAGAACCUUACCUAAGCUUGACAUCCCAAUGACAUCUCCUUAAUCGGAGAGUUCCCUUCGGGGACAUUGGUGACAGGUGGUGCAUGGUUGUCGUCAGCUCGUGUCGUGAGAUGUUGGGUUAAGUCCCGCAACGAGCGCAACCCUUGUCUUUAGUUGCCAUCAUUAAGUUGGGCACUCUAGAGAGACUGCCAGGGAUAACCUGGAGGAAGGUGGGGAUGACGUCAAAUCAUCAUGCCCCUUAUGCUUACGGCUACACACGGGAUAGAAUGGGUAGUACAGAGGGUUGCCAAGCCGUAAGG
rnacentral:rRNA from 1 species